rnacentral:rRNA from 1 species
CAAGUCGAGCGGUAAGGCCCUUUCGGGGGUACACGAGCGGCGAACGGGUGAGUAACACGUGAGUAAUCUGCCCUUCACUUCGGGAUAAGCCUCGGAAACGGGGUCUAAUACCGGAUACGACACUUUUACGCAUGUAAUGGGUGUGGAAAGUUUUUUCGGUGGGGGAUGUGCUCGCGGCCUAUCAGCUUGUUGGUGGGGUAAUGGCCUACCAAGGCUUCGACGGGUAGCCGGCCUGAGAGGGUGACCGGCCACACUGGGUCUGAGACACGGCCCAGACUCCUACGGGAGGCAGCAGUGGGGAAUAUUGGACAAUGGGCGGAAGCCUGAUCCAGCAACGCCGCGUGAGGGAUGACGGCCUUCGGGUUGUAAACCUCUUUCAGCGGGGACGAAGCGCAAGUGACGGUACCCGCAGAAGAAGCACCGGCCAACUACGUGCCAGCAGCCGCGGUAAUACGUAGGGUGCGAGCGUUGUCCGGAAUUAUUGGGCGUAAAGGGCUCGUAGGCGGUUUGUCGCGUCGGGAGUGAAAACGCCGGGCUUAACUCGGUGCUUGCUUUCGAUACGGGCAGACUAGAGGCAUGCAGGGGAGAACGGAAUUCCUGGUGUAGCGGUGAAAUGCGCAGAUAUCAGGAGGAACACCGGUGGCGAAGGCGGUUCUCUGGGCAUGUCCUGACGCUGAGGAGCGAAAGUGUGGGGAGCGAACAGGAUUAGAUAUCCUGGUAGUCCACACCGUAAACGUUGGGCGCUAGGUGUGGGAUCCAU